GCUCGUGUCGUGAGAUGUUGGGUUAAGUCCGCAACGAGCGCAACCCUCGCCUUUAGUUGCCAUCAGGUUAAGCUGGGCACUCUAAAGGAACCGCCGGUGACAAGCCGGAGGAAGGUGGGGAUGACGUCAAGUCCUCAUGGCCUUACGGGUUGGGCUACACACGUGCUACAAUGGCAGUGACAGUGGGUUGCGAAGCAGCGAUGCGGAGCCAAUCCCAAAAGCUGCCUCAGUUCGGAUUGUUCUCUGCAACUCGAGAGCAUGAAGGCGGAAUCGCUAGUAAUCGCGGAUCAGCAUGCGCGGUGAAUACGUUCCCGGCCUUGUACACACCGCCCGUCACACCAUGGGAGUUGGUUUUACCCGAAGCCGGUGCGCUAACCGCAAGGAGGCAGCCGACCACGGUAAGGUCAGCGACUGGGGUGAAGUCGUAACAAGGUAGCCGUAGGGGAACCUGCGGCUGGAUCACCUCCUUUCUAAGG
rnacentral:rRNA from 1 species